GACAGAGGGUGCAAACGUUGUUCGGAAUUACUGGGCGUAAAGCGCGUGUAGGCGGUGCGGUAAGUCGGGUGUGAAAGCCCUGGGCUCAACCCAGGAAGUGCAUUCGAUACUACCGUACUAGAGUCCCGGAGAGGUUGGUGGAACUCUCGGUGUAGAGGUGAAAUUCGUAGAUAUCGAGAAGAACACCGGUGGCGAAGGCGGCCAACUGGACGUGACUGACGCUGAGACGCGAAGCGUGGGAGCAA
rnacentral:rRNA from 1 species